rnacentral:lncRNA from 1 species
UAUAUGACCUAGUCUAACUAAUCAUAAUAUUUCAAAAAGGGCAAUUGCUUGUAAUCACCUGAAAAGUUUCUGACUUUUCGAUUUACCUAUUUUAGAAUGCUAAUAUUGAAAAUACCCCUCAUACGUUCCAACCUAUUUCUAAUAUAUCCUUAGAGUUAAAAUCUGUUAAGUAACUCUGUUAUCUCUGUAAAAUUACUAUUUUGCCUUUUCAAAUAUACCCUUCCAUCAUCACUGUCUUUUUUAUUUGCCCUUAAAGUCAGGGGCAUAAAAAGUAUUUUGAAUUUUAGUCUUUUCCAAUAUACCCCUCUACUGUCACCAACCUUUCUUAUUUGCCCUUAAGUUAAGGGCAAAAUUGGCAUUUUAAUUUUUUUUAACUGUGGUAGAUAUUUAACGCACGUUUAACCACGGUUAACUUAACAUGAGAUAACUGCGGGGAUAUUUUGCAAUAACGGUGGAACAUAUGAGGGGUAUUUUAGAAAGAAAAAAAAAUAGGAGUAAAUCGAAUAUUUUCAAACAUAUGAGGGGUAUAUAGGCAAUUAUCCCUUUCAAAAAAGUGACCGACCAUCCCUAGAGCAAGUGGCAAAGGGCUUGGUGGUUGGUACCCGAGACGCAAGUUCGAAUCCUUGUUGAUUCACAUUUCUAGCUAAAUUUAUUUCUAAAUAAAAUAAACGAAGCGGGUAGCGUGCUACCUAUCUCUCUCUCAAAAAAAAAAAAAAUUUCAGAAAAGUGGCAAAGAGCUUGAUGGCAAAGUGGAAAAAAGUGGAAAAUUUACUGAGUGACAAAGGGUUUGGUGGUUGGUACUCGAGAUUUCGAGUUCGAAUCCUAGUUGAUUCACAUUUUCAGCUAAGUUUAUUUCUAAAUGAAAUAAACGAAGCGGGUAGCAUACUACCUAUCUCUUAAAAUAUAUAUAUAUAUAUAUAUAUAUAUAGAGAGAGAGAGAGAGAGAGA